CCUCUCUCAGCAUCCUGCGCUGUCAUUGGGCAGCGGACACGCUCUCUCUCCUCCUCUACACACCAGGGAGCAGCAUCACCACUACUGCAAGUGGCAGCCGGCAGGAGGGGAUGGGCGGAGGAGAUGCGUAUUCAGAUUGCCAACAUUAUAAAUCACAUUUGCCGGAGGGAAACCACAGAUCCAGCAAGCAGCUCUGACAGAGCAACUUCUGUCGCAGCAUGAAUCAAUCUAAACUCACGACAUCACACACUGUGACUUCACCAUGAGCCCCAACUCCUCAGACCUGCCAUCCUCAAGCUGUCCACCAGAUGCCCUCAGACUUUCCCUCCUUUUGCCAUCACCUGACCACCAAUCUAAACACCUGUUCCCACUUCUCUCAUCAGCCCUGCAGUUACCUGGC